rnacentral:rRNA from 1 species
AUGUCGAUAUUGCCCUCGGACCUCCAAUAUAUAAGGGCCCUCACUCUAGCUGAAUGGCAGAGCCACCAACCCACCACACACCACAGGAGUUCUCUUCUCCCGUACGAUUGUGAGGCCAAGGAGAUGGAGGCGAAGAAGAGAGCGGCCGCUGUUGCCACCCUGUGCAUGCUCCUCCUCCUCACGCUGCCAAAGCCAUCCCAUCAGCAGCUGUCCGAAGUCAAGUGCGAGUGCUACCGGAAGUGCUACCCUGGGUGCAACAACAGCACCCCUCCGUGGGUCUGCAAGGUGAUGUGCGCCUGUAGCUGCCCCUUCUUCGACGACAUCUCCGACCCCCUUCGCACCUGCUUGGACGCCUGCAACACGGACCCCAUCUGUGACCUGCCAGCGCCGUUGACCGAUCCUGAAGUUUGUGUAGACGAAUGCUACAAUGUGUGGGGCGCCCCUGGUCCCGAUCCCGACGAGGAACAUUGA